CCUACGGGUGGCAGCAGUGGGGGAUAUUGGACAAUGGGGGCAACCCUGAUCCAGCCAUGCCGCGUGUGUGAAGAAGGCCCUCGGGUUGUAAAGCACUUUCAGUGAGGAAGAACGCCUGGUGGUUAAUACCCAUCAGGAAAGACAUCACUCACAGAAGAAGCACCGGCUAACUCCGUGCCAGCAGCCGCGGUAAUACGGAGGGUGCGAGCGUUAAUCGGAAUUACUGGGCGUAAAGCGCGCGUAGGUGGCUUGAUAAGCCGGUUGUGAAAGCCCCGGGCUCAACCUGGGAACGGCAUCCGGAACUGUCAAGCUAGAGUGCAGGAGAGGAAGGUAGAAUUCCCGGUGUAGCGGUGAAAUGCGUAGAGAUCGGGAGGAAUACCAGUGGCGAAGGCGGCCUUCUGGACUGACACUGACACUGAGGUGCGAAAGCGUGGGUAGCAAACAGGAUUAGAUACCCCGGUAGUC
rnacentral:rRNA from 1 species